GGAAUCUUCCCCAAUGGACGAAAGUCUGAGGGAGCGACGCCGCGUGAGGGAUGAAGGUUUUCGGAUCGUAAACCUCUGAAUCUGGGACGAAAGACCGGGACAACCGGAGAUGACGGUACCAGAGUAAUAGCACCGGCUAACUCCGUGCCAGCAGCCGCGGUAAUACGGAGGGUGCAAGCGUUACCCGGAAUCACUGGGCGUAAAGGGCGUGUAGGCGGCAUCACAAGUCUGGUUUUAAAGCCUGCGGCUCAACCGCAGAGAUGGACUGGAGACUGUGAAGCUAGACCUCUGGAGAGAGAACUGGAAUUCCUGGUGUAGCGGUGGAAUGCGUAGAUACCAGGAGGAACACCGAUGGCGAAGGCAGGUUCUUGGACAGAAGGUGACGCUGAGGCGCGAAAGUGUGGGGAGCAAACCGGAUUAGAUACCCGAG
rnacentral:rRNA from 1 species